AAUACGUAGGGUGCGAGCGUUAAUCGGAAUUACUGGGCGUAAAGCGUGCGCAGGCGGUUCGUCGUGUCUGAUGUGAAAGCCCCGGGCUCAACCUGGGAAUGGCAUUGGAAACUGGCGGACUAGAGUGUGGCAGAGGGGGGUGGAAUUCCGCGUGCAGCAGUGAAAUGCGUAGAGAUGCGGAGGAACACCGAUGGCGAAGGCAGCCCCCUGGGCUAACACUGACGCUCAGGCACGAAAGCGUGGGGAGCAAACAGGA
rnacentral:rRNA from 1 species